rnacentral:rRNA from 1 species
GCAUAUUUGUACGUUACCUACUACGAAGAAGACACCGGCGAACUACCGUGCCAGCAGCCGCGGUAAUACGGAGGGUGCGAGCGUUAAUCGGAAUUACUGGGCGUAAAGCGCAUGCAGGCGGCCUGUUAAGUCAGAUGUGAAAGCCCGGGGCGUUAACCUCGGAAUUGCAUUUGAAACUGGCAGGCUAGAGUCUUGUAGAGGGGGGUAGGAAGUUUCAGGUGUAGCGGUGAAAUGCGUAGAGAUCUGAAGGAAUACCAGUGGCGAAGGCGGCCCCCUCGGACAAAGACUGACGCUCAGAUGCGAAAGCGUGGGGAGCAAACAGGAUUAGAUACCCUGGUAG